UAACGUGGCAAUGCCCUCAGUAACGGCGAGUGAAGCGGCAACAGCUCAAAUUUGAAAGCUAGCCUUCGGGUUCGCAUUGUAAUUUGUAGAGGAUGCUUUGGGUAAAACGCCAGUCUAAGUUCCUUGGAACAGGACGUCAUAGAGGGUGAGAAUCCCGUAUGUGACUGGAAAUGUUAACCUAUGUAAAGCUCCUUCGACGAGUCGAGUUGUUUGGGAAUGCAGCUCUAAAUGGGAGGUAAAUUUCUUCUAAAGCUAAAUAUUGGCGAGAGACCGAUAGCGCACAAGUAGAGUGAUCGAAAGAUGAAAAGCACUUUGGAAAGAGAGUUAAAAAGCACGUGAAAUUGUUGAAAGGGAAGCGCUUGCAAUCAGACUUGUUUAAACUGUUCGGCCGGUCUUCUGACCGGUUUACUCAGUUUGGACAGGCCAGCAUCAGUUUCGGCGGCCGGAUAAAGGCUCUGGGAAUGUGGCCUCCACUUCGGUGGAGGUGUUAUAGCCCAGUGUGUAAUACGGCCAGCCGGGACUGAGGUCCGCGCUUCGGCUAGGAUGCUGGCGUAAUGGUUGUAAGCGACCCGUCUUGAACCACGGACCA
rnacentral:rRNA from 1 species